rnacentral:tRNA from 1 species
GCCUGGGUGGCUCAGUCGGUUGAGCGUCCGACUUCGGCUCAGGUCAUGAUCUCACAGUCCGUGGGUUCGAGCCCCGUGUCGGGCU